rnacentral:ncRNA from 1 species
GAACUGUGCCUGAGUAGAGCAAGACCACAGGAAACUCUGGUGGAGAUCCAUAGCUGUUCUGAUAUACAAAUUGAUCAUCUGACAUGGGUAUAGGGGCAAAAGACUAAUCAA